GUUUUCAAAAAAUGAUUUUUACAACUCCAGAAGCGUUAAAAACGAUUUAGUUAACGUAAGAGAAAAAUAACCUUAUAAGUUUACAAAGUGAUAGCACCAAUUCAUACAUGCAAAAAGGAGAAAUAUGGCUCAUAUAGUCAAAUUUAUUUAUAUAAUGAUUAUCUUUCUAUUCCCAUUUCUUAAUACAACAAAUAUUGAAGCGUUGAAACGUUCAAAUUGCUUUAGAGCUUCAGAUUGUCCAGAUAGGUGUCGAAAUCCUAAGAUCAUGAAGUGUAUGUACCAGACCUACUGCAAAUGUGUGAUGCCAGGAUAUAUUCCACCUCCAUGAUUCUGUAUUUUUAUCCAUACCCAAUAGAGUACUCAAGUGGUGUUAUAAAGUAAUCCAUAAGCUGCCAUUUAGUUAUUGUAUUGGCUUCAAAUAAUUUUAUUUUUUUCUUUCUUUAAUUUAAAGAUCUGUGUUUUAUGGCUUUGUACCCAGAUGAUGAUUUUUAAAUUAAAUAAGCACUAGUGGAAAAAGAAGAUUUAACA